GAUGAACGCUGGCGGCGUGCUUAACACAUGCAAGUCGAACGGAAAGGCCCAAGCUUGCUUGGGUACUCGAGUGGCGAACGGGUGAGUAACACGUGGGUGAUCUGCCCUGCACUUUGGGAUAAGCCUGGGAAACUGGGUCUAAUACCGGAUAGGACCACUUCUUGGAUGUUGUGGUGGAAAGUUUUUUCGGUGUGGGAUGAGCUCGCGGCCUAUCAGCUUGUUGGUGGGGUAAUGGUCUACCAAGGCGUCGGCGGGUAGCCGGCCUGAGAGAGUGUACGGCGACAUUGGGACUGAGAUACGGCCCAGACUCCUACGGGAGGCAGCAGUGGGGAAUAUUGCACAAUGGGCGCAAGCCUGAUGCAGCGGCGCCGCGUGGGGGAUGACGGCCUUCGGGUUGUAAACUCCUUUCGCUAGGGACGAAGCGUUUUGUGACGGUACCUGGAGAAGAAGCACCGGCUAACUACGUG
rnacentral:rRNA from 1 species